rnacentral:rRNA from 1 species
AUUGAACGCUGGCGGCAGGCCUAACACAUGCAAGUCGGACGGUAGCACAGAGGAGCUUGCUCCUCGGGUGACGAGUGGCGGACGGGUGAGUAAUGUCUGGGGAUCUGCCCGAUAGAGGGGGAUAACCACUGGAAACGGUGGCUAAUACCGCAUAACGUCGCAAGACCAAAGAGGGGGAACUUCGGGCCUCCCAAUAUCGGAUUAACCCAGAUGGGAUUAGCUAGUAGUCGGGGUAACGGCCCACCUAGGCGACGAUCCCUAGCUGGUCUGAGAGGAUGACCAGCCACACUGGAACUGAGACACGGUCCAGACUCCUACGGGAGGCAGCAGUGGGGAAUAUUGCACAAUGGGCGCAAGCCUGAUGCAGCCAUGCCGCGUGUAUGAAGAAGGCCUUCGGGUUGUAAAGUACUUUCAGCGGGGAGGAAGGCGAUGUGGUUAAUACCCGCAUUGAUUGACGUUACCCGCAGAAGCAGCACCGGCUAACUCCGUGCCAGCCGCCGCAGUAA